rnacentral:rRNA from 1 species
UACGGAGGGUGCAAGCGUUAUCCGGAUUCACUGGGUUUAAAGGGUGCGUAGGUGGGUUGGUAAGUCAGUGGUGAAAUCUCCGAGCUUAACUUGGGAACUGCCAUUGAUACUAUCAGUCUUGAAUAUUGUGGAGGUCAGCGGAAUAUGUCAUGUAGCGGUGAAAUGCUUAGAUAUGACAUAGAACACCGAUAGCGAAGGCAGCCUGCUACACAAUUAUUGACACUGAGGCUCGAAAGCGUGGGGAUCAAACAGG